GAUGAACGCUGGCGGCGUGCUUAACACAUGCCAGUCGAACGGAAAGGCCCAAGCUUGCUUGGGUACUCGAGUGGCGAACGGGUGAGUAACACGUGGGUGAUCUGCCCUGCACUUCGGGAUAAGCCUGGGAAACUGGGUCUAAUACCGGAUAGGACGAUGGUUUGGAUGCCAUUGUGGAAAGUUUUUUCGGUGUGGGAUGAGCUCGCGGCCUAUCAGCUUGUUGGUGGGGUAAUGGCCUACCAAGGCGUCGACGGGUAGCCGGCCUGAGAGGGUGUACGGCCACAUUGGGACUGAGAUACGGCCCAGACUCCUACGGGAGGCAGCAGUGGGGAAUAUUGCACAAUGGGCGCAAGCCUGAUGCAGCGACGCCGCGUGGGGGAUGACGGCCUUCGGGUUGUAAACUCCUUUCGCUAGGGACGAAGCGUUUUUGUGACGGUACCUGGAGAAGAAGCACCGGCUAACUACGU
rnacentral:rRNA from 1 species